GGCGUUUGGCAUCUCAAACAAGCCCAAGGUCCGGCAACCUUAGUCUCGCGAGAGUCUCAUUCGCUGUUGCUAAAUUUGGUUUAGGGUUAUAUUUAAAGGUAGGGGUAAGGUUAGGCUAGGGGUAGGUAUAGUAUAGGGUUUCUGUGGGACUCCAAAUAAACACAAUAGUUUGUAAACGUCUAAUGUGGCUCUUGCGAGAUUUUAUGUAACUGAGCAGUUACCUUCUAGACACGACGGCCCUGAUCCCGGUCCAGAUCACGUGACGUAACUUGCGUGCUGCAGAGUGCGCGUACGUGCAUUGAGACACACGAAUGGUAACAAGGGACGCAGUGAAUGAAAUAUAUCAUGAAAACUUUUGUUGUGUUGGUGUUUGGUCUGGCUCUUCUGGGGCUUGGCUCUGCACUUCAGUGUUACACAUGUGACGCCUCAGGAGCCUGUGAUAAGACUAGGGUUUGCGACUCUGAAGAUUCCUGCUUGUCACUCACUGGCUCCGGAGCGUCAUUGUGACGAGGAGGAGGGCGGGGCCAGGCCGUGACUAUGCACGCCUAGCCCCCAAUCGGGCUAAUCAGCCGAGGAGAGGGAUAAGAGCAGCGGAAUGUGGCAGUUCGGGAGAGUGAGAGCCACAUGCAGCUGCCAUGGAUGCCGCGUGGAAAAGGUUUUUGCCAAUCUCAGGCUGCGAAGAGGCGGAAUACUGAGCGCUACUUGCUGGGCACUUCAGUUGAUUUGACUGAUGAGUUUAUGCCUCAUGAAAAAAAGGGUCUGACUGACAGGGUUAUACCUCCCCUUCAUCAAAAGGUGCAUAGUGUUUGCAAAAGAGGUUUGCAAAAACUCUGGCACAAUGUCUCAAAUAUAAAUAAGCACAUUUCCUGGUGAAGAAAUUAACAAAUUUGUACAUGUCAUUAACUCUGCUGAUUAUCCACAGAAAGUCAUUCAGUCAGGGUGAUUAGAGAUUUGGUUUCAACAGAAACAGACAGUGUGCAGUGAACAGUGUGACAGCAGUAAUGAUGAGCAAGCUGAAGGAUGUGCUGACCUGGACAACAGAUGACUUGGAUACUGUUCUGAUGCAUGGAGAUGAGCUGUACACAUUAAAGUAUUUACAGCGCAAGAUUGGUGAUCCAACACAGCGUGAUUAUGUUGUGAUUGCAGAAUUGCCAACCAUGCACACACUCUGUAAUACCAAGUUUUUAAUAAACUAUGGUGAUGCAUCCACUGGAUGUGUUGGUGUUGAUGUUUAUGAUGAAG